ensembl:lncRNA novel transcript, antisense to LRP11
GCGGCUAUCCCAGGAGCCCCGGGCAGGAGCCCCGGGCAGGAGCACCGCAUGCUGGCCUCCCUCCCUCACAGGCUCGGUGUGCCCCAGCAGACCUAGCUGCCAGCAGUGACAACAUGCGUUACCUUCAUGUCCACUGACGGGUCCCCCUGCAGCAGUGCCCACUCAUACUGGACGAUGGCGUGGUCAUCUGUGCUCUCGCGGCCGUCUAGAACCACCCCGUCUGUGGGCAGAUGCAGAACCACAUCCUGCCCAGCCUUGCUAAGUGGAGGCGCAUCCUUUUCUGAGAAAGAAAAUAAAUAAUUCAUAAAAGAU